CUGCACUAUAGGGAUUCAAAGCCUUGAGGAGUUUAACUUGAGUUAGGGACACAAUACUUGUUUUUCCCUUCUUCCUUAGGACCUUUUCUUCUUGACAAAAAGAGUAAAGGUCAUGAGCUCUCAGGAAAUCAACUGUGCCGUUCAUAACACUUGGUAUUGGAAUAAAGAAAUAAAUGAUAUAAACCCUCUGACAUCCAGGAACCAGAAGAACAGGGAAGUCCAGAUGCUCCAGCUCUUGAUUCCCAUAUGUGGAAGGCUCAGAUCAAGUCUAUUUCUUCAUCAAUACCACUCAACCCCUACCAAGGGCUCUCUGAGCUUUUCCAAAUACCACUUAUUUUUUUCUUUUUUUUAAUACUAAGACAGAAGGCCAGCUUACUUCUGCCCAUUUCUGAUCUCUUCAUCCUGUUUGUUCUCACUCCCACAUGGCUGUUUACUCUGAAUUAGUGGCCAAUUAGUAAACCAGAGAGGUACUGAAGAAAUAUCGGAGAGGCAGUUCCUGUCAGGACAAUACUUGUUACAUCACAGAAGAAGCUAGGGAUCUCCAGGAUACAAAAGAUUUUUCAGUGAGGCCUAAUGAUGAUGUCACUGAGAACUGCCAUGUCCUUAGCUGCUGAGCAGCGUUCCUUUCAUUGACCAGAUUCGAGGGUGUCCUUUCCAGGAGAGUCUCCUAUUGCACAGUUGAAACCUUUACAUACUCCAUCUCUCUAAACCUAGAGACUUCUCUCUGCUUCACUAGUAGUUAAAAGCUCUGAAUGGAGAAAGUUAGUCAGGGUCUUGGCAUGGGUAGAAAACAUUUAGGAACAUGGAAUAUAGGAGAUCUUCUAGAUAAUGCUUAUAUCCCCAGGUUCAUACCUGUGACUCAGUUCAACAUUCUAAGUAUUCUGUUUCCCAAAGGCCAAUAUUUUCCCUACAGACGUUUAAUUGAAUUAAUAUUGUAUUUCAAUUUCUUAUUGAAAAUUCGUUGAUAGGGUACUUUGAAAAUAUUCCUCAAUGUGUACUCAAAAAUUCUGUUUUCCAAUUCCAUUUUCUGCAAAGGUUUUGGCAACAAAGGAGGCCCAACUAUAGAGUAAGCAUAACACUGUAAAUACUGUAUACCUAAUUCAAAUUAUAAAUUCCCAAAUCCUUAUUUUAACAAAAAAUUACCAGAUAUCAGAAAAGCAAAGCCCAACAUGGACUAUUGAAUUCGGUUCUCUAGUCCCAUUUGAUAUCAGUUCUGCAAUAUCUACCUUCCUGAGUUUCAUUCCCAUACUUGAGGGUUUUGAGUAUUUUACCAUGAUUAGUUAUUAAGGCCAAACAUAAGAUAUAGGAGGCUGGGCAUCUAGAGGAAUGACUUGAGGACCAGUGACGCCUCAAUUUCAGAAGUUUCAAAAAACAGGAUGGAGUCUAUUUGGUGUUGCCAUUUGUGGAUUCUACAGUCUUGACCUAGAUAUGCAGAACCCAUGUCAAAAUUCCAGCUAAACUCAGAGCUGUAGGAGCCACCAAAAGUACAUACAUAUACAUCAGCCACCAAAACUAGACAAGAUUGAUGAAGGUAAGUGCAUUCUUCCAGGAAUCAGAUAUAGAUAUUUCCUGAGAGACACAACUAGAUUAUGCCAAAUACAGAAGUGAAUGCUAGUGGCAAACCAGUGAACUGAAAAUGGACUUCUUGUUUGUAGAUUUUCAGGAAAGAUUACAAGAGCUGAAGGGGCUUUAACACCAUAAGAACGACAAUGCUAAUGAACCAGAGCUUUCUGAUACUAGACCUAUGUUCAAGAAUGUACAUGGACAGAGUUAUGGCUCCAACUGCAUAUGUGGAAGAGGAUGGACUUGGAACCACUUGAAGCAGGGAAGUCCAGAUGCUUCUGACACGCUCCGAGCUCCGAGCUCCUGAUCCCAUGUGUGGAAGGCUCAGAUCAAUUCUAUCUCUUCAAGACAGGAGGGUAGCAUUAUUGUCCUCUGCAAGACUCAACGGAGCAUCCGACUAACACACGUGCACAGACAUACGGCCAAAUAUUGAAUGGAGCUCAGUGAGUCUCAAUGAAAGGCUGAGGGAAGGGCAGACAGAGACAGAGGAGCACAAUGAUCUUCAGGUGGGGUCACUAAACCCGUCGCUUGUCUGUGGAUCCUGUUCUCCUACCCGGGCUGCGUUUUCAGGACCUGGUGGGAGACGAUGAAUCUAGUUGAGUAGAGACUUGAUGUGCCAGGGGAGAGGGUAAACCCAGAGGGGUCCUCCACUCUCUCAGAUAAGAAUGGGAGAGGAUAGAAUGAGGGAGUGUAAAUGGUAGGAGCCUGGAGGAGUGUGGUUCCAGGGCAGCAUUCAGAAUGCUACCUGGUGAAUAGAUGCAACCAUACAGCCGCUGUGGGUUGAUGUCAGAAUUUGGAGUCCACUUCUCACCUCAAUAGUGACUGUGAGGCGGGUUACCCAUGACAGAGGGGCAUGCUGGAGGUAUCUUCCACCAUUUUCUAUUUAUGGACACAAUCAUAGCACUGUAAAAUACCACCCAUGUCUCUGAAACUCUGUUGGUCAGAAACCCAGACACAGCUUAAUCUGGGUCCUUGCUAGGCUACAGUCAAGGUCUUGGCUACCAAGUCUUUCCCUUCAAAUGUCCUGGUGGGGAAGGUCUGCCUGUAUAUUCCCUCGGGCCCUGGGGGAAAUUACUUCCUUGUAGUGGCAGAGCUAUCCCAUUGCCACAAGAGCCACCUAUUGAUCCCCUCAACAUGGAUACUGGAUUCUGCAAGCCCUCGAGAGAGCAAGGGUGGCAAGACAGAUUUGUGUGACAUGAUAUAACCAUAGUCAGGACCUCCCAUCACCUUCCCCAUAUGACAUGACAUGAAAUUAGCAUCCCAUUACCCUUGCUGUGUCAGAAGCAAGCCACUGACAUUGCCUACUUGUCUGGGGAAAGGAAUGCCGAACUGUUUGGAUACCAGAAGAUGGAAACCAUAGAGCCAUGUCAACUAGUACAAUGGUCUCAUUGGGAUCCCACCAACAGUGUAGAUACCUGGCCCCACCAGCUUCCAGGUAUGUGAGACAGCAUCUCUCCAGUUGCUUUUUGUAUGGGAACAUGUGCGUCUUUUUCCACUCAGGGCCCUGCACCAAUGACGCUCCUGCUCAGAAGAGAACUCGUACUUUUACCUCCUCGCCAUUUUUACUCCCUAAUUUCAAUCCGCAGUGCAGUUCUGGCAGUGAGAGUUGGAACUCAGCCUCCUUUCCUUCCCUAUCCUCCCCAGCAACCUGGAAACUUGGAGCAGAGCUCAGAGCAUCCGACCACUGCAUACAGCUCAUGAUGUGGCCCAACACCUCCUUGUGCUUCCUCUAGUACAAGUUUCACUUCAGUGCUUUUUCUAAUCAAAUAAUAGGUUGGUAUCACAGGAUAUAGGCUUGAUGGUGAACCCUCCCAGGACACCCAUGUGGCUGGGUAUAGCAAUGGCUACCCCCAGCCACCCUAGGGCACAUGAAGCACAGAGUAAGCAAGUCCCCUUAAUGAUUCUCAUGAUAUCCAGAGCUUUUUUUCAAAUUUUGGACCCAGUUCUGAAAUAUUGCUGAGGGCAGCUGAUAGGGCCAGGAAAGGUUAAUAGCUCUGCAGAAAGUAGAAUGUGUAAACGGGCUGGUAAUCGUCAUGGCAUUUCAUGUCAAACUCCCGGCUGGAGCUCAGAAUUAGGACCCUGGCUGAGUCAAGGGGAACUCAGCUCCCUGGCUGCCCUGCCCACAGGGGGCAGAUACAAAUAUGUGUUCUGGGUAGCAAGAGGGUGUGGGAAACAGUUGGAGGAUCCCAGAUAGAAAAACUGACACUCCAGUAAACGGACUGCCAAUGUAGCCUUUGCCAAGUAGCCUGGGAAGGAAUGACUGCCUUAUUCAGAGUCUAUGGCAUUGUCCCUGUGCCGUGAGCCUCAGGAAGUGAGGAAGCUAGGCUCAGACCUGACCCAGUCAAAGGUGGUCAUUCUUAGACAUCCUCCUUCCCACCUACAUAGAAACAGAGAAUUCUGAGCUCUGCUGCAUGUGGUAUAAAAUUGUCACUUCCUAUGAAGAACCUGUCUCUCCUGCGUGACCAACUAUAAGUGAUUAGCUAAAGAGAGACCCCAGGUCGCCCUUUGAGAUGGUUCAUUUUAUUCUUCGAUGUGAUACAACCUACAGCUACUUGGCUAGUUUUAGGUUCAUUUGACACAAACCAGAGUCAUUUGAGAAGAGGGAGUGUCAACUGAACAAAAUGUCCACACCAGAUUGGCCUGAGGAACAUUUUCUUAAUUAGUGAUUGAUGUGGCGGGGCCCAAUCCGUUGUGGGUGGUGCUACCCAGGGAUAGGUAGGCCUGGAGUGUGUAGGGAACAGGAUAAACAAGCAUUGGGGAGUAAGCCAGUAAGCAGCACUAUUCCAAGGCCUCUGCAUCACCCCUGUCUCCAGGACCCUGGCCUGUUUGAGUUCCUGCCCUGACUUCCCUCAGUGAUGAACUGUUACCUGGAAAUGUAACUUUAAUUUUUUUCAAUGCCUAUUUUUAAUGAUGGUUCUUAAACUUCCCUUCUAGCCCACCACCCACCAGAGGUAGUGGGAAAGAAAGGAUACAGGAGAAGUGGACCUGUUUAGAAAUGGUUAUUUGGAGCAACUCCCAUCUGUGUUGUCUGGAAAUUGUCAGUUUGGCUCACAGGUCAGCAGCAGCAGCUCAACCCACUUGCAAACACUUCACAGAUAUACCAGCAGUCCAGUUUGUUAGAGUCAGGAUAGCAAACAGGAAUCAGCAGCAGUGGCCCUACAUAGCAGAGACAGCCAGGCCUCAGUCUCAGCACAAGACAGCAGGAGGGACCAGAGCCAACAGGAAUACCAGGAGAAGUUCUCAGCUGUGCCUCUCUCAGAGAUCAGCAAAGAUACAAGACCAACAAGCGCUGCACAGAUAGCUCUAUAAGCAAGUUAAGCUCAGCUUCUUUCACUCUCCUAUUUAUAUCCCUCCAAACAUCCCAUGUCCUCCGUGUGUCUGCCUAGCUCAGCUGAUAUUACUCUGCCAAUCAACCUGAGUCUGCAAAAGUAACGAAAAAGCUGUGGCACACCACCAGAAGUUUUUUUGUGCAUUCUCCCUAUGGAGUCCUAACAUAUGAGGCUCAACUACACAAUGUAAGGUGGACCAAUACAUGUGUGUCAUUAGCGAAGAAUCCUUCAUUAGGUGUCUUUUCAUGUGCUUGCUUCAGCAAAAAAUCCUCUCACCUGUGUCUGCUUCAGCACAAUGUUCCUUCACAUGUUUGCCCCAGCCAAACACCAUCCAACACAACUGACUUUCCCAAGAACCCUUAGGUUUCCACUUCGUGGAAAUGUAUGAUAAAAUAAACCCUUUCCUCCCUAGCUUACUUUUGGUCACAAUGUUUAUCACGACAUUGGAAGCCUAAUCACAACACCUGGAAAGAGUGUCUCAGUGAGUGACUGAAUACAUUGGGUUGGCAACUCUCCUACACUUUUCCCAGAAAAGCAGAGUAGAGACAAGCUGGCCAACUGGUAGACCUUCAUCCUAAGCCAGGCUCCUGCAGAGAAGAACCUUUGACUCUACUGUAAUCCUUCAACUGGAAGUGUUCACUGGAAACUGGCAAGAACUGCUUUAAAAAUAAAAGAUAGUUAAGGGAUUGGAGAGAUUCUUCAGUGGUUAAUGGCACUAGUUGCUUUUCCAGCAGACCCAAGAUCAAUUCCAAGCAUCCACAUGGCAGUUCUCAACCAUAUUUAACUCCAGUUCCAGGGGACUCAAUGACUUCUUCUGGCCUCAGCAGGCUCCAGGUAUGUUCAUGGUGUAAAACAUACAUGCAGAUGAAACACCCAUACACAUAAAAUAAGAAUAAAUUUUAAGAGAGAGAGAGAGAGAGAGAGAGAGAGAGAGAGAGAGAGAGAGGUGAAGGCCAGGAAUAUAUACCAGUGGGUAAAGUGCUUGCCUUGCAAGCAGGAAGACAUGAGUUUGAUCACCAGAACAAAUGUAAAAAUCCAAGCAUAUGCUGAGGGAAUAGCUCAGUUGGUGACAUUCUUGCCACACAACCAUGACGGCCUGACUUUCGUAAUCAGAAUCCACAUGAAAAGCUUGCCACAGUGGCAGGUACUUGUAAUCCCAGCUCUGGAGAGGCAGAGAUGGGCAGGUCUCUGAGACUCUCACUGGUCAGCCAGCAUAACCCUUGAUGAGAUCCAGGCCAAUGAAAGACCUUUUCUCAGAAAACAGUAAGAUAAUGACUAAGAAAUGGCACCCAAACAUGUUCAAUGGCCUCCACAUACUACAUAUAUACACAUACACACAUGAACAUAUGCAUGCAAACCUAUGCAAACACAUAUACGUAUACAAAAGAUAGGUGAAUAGAUGGAUAUCCAUGGUGGAUAGACAGACAAGCAGACAAACAAAGAAGACCCAAAGGACAGAGAUUUAGCUUCAAAAGGCCCAGACAUCUCAAUCGCAGCCCAAGUUCAACCUGUGAGAUGGUAAGAUAUCUUUAAGGUCUUCUUCCCCAACUUCCUGGCAAAGUGGCCAAUGUGGUUAACAUGAGCCAAACAUUAACAGUGUGUUUCUAAGGCUGCCCAUCACAAAUAUAAUUGGCCCUAAGACAUGCCAUAGCCUAAACAUACCAUUCUCCAAGAAGCUUCAGAAAGUGCAGGUGAGAAGGCAGAGGAAUAUAGCUGGGCAUGGAUAUCUCACUCAAUAAAUAUACUAGACCCAAUGUCAGGUAUAAUUACGGUGUGGCAGCUGCCUAUGCUAUGGGCUUCCCACUGCGUCUGCCCAAAGCAGCUGUCUACAAUGAUCUCUGCAAGCAAAGUGCCAAGCAAGAAGAGAAAUGGCUUCUGCUCCAUGUCAAAGGCAGCAGACACAGGGGAACAUGUGAUGAAUUCAUGUCACACAGGUGUACCCCUGGGGUUCCUUCCCCCCCCCAUUUGUUA